GCGUGAGAAUCUGGCUCUAGGUCUGGGACAACCACUGGAAACGGUGGCUAAUACCGGAUGUGCCGAAAGGUGAAAGGUUAACUGCCUGGAGAUGAGCUCGCGUCUGAUUAGCUAGUUGGAAGUGUAAUGGACUCCCAAGGCGACGAUCAGUAGCUGGUCUGAGAGGACGAUCAGCCACACUGGGACUGAGACACGGCCCAGACUCCUACGGGAGGCAGCAGUGGGGAAUUUUCCGCAAUGGGCGAAAGCCUGACGGAGCAAUACCGCGUGAGGGAGGAAGGCUCUUGGGUCGUAAACCUCUUUUCUCAGGGAAGAACACAAUGACGGUACCUGAGGAAUAAGCAUCGGCUAACUCCGUGCCAGCAGCCGCGGUAAUACGGAGGAUGCAAGCGUUAUCCGGAAUGAUUGGGCGUAAAGCGUCCGCAGGUGGCAAUGUAAGUCUGCUGUUAAAGAGUCUAGCUCAACUAGAUAAAAGCAGUGGAAACUACAUAGCUAGAGUACGUUCGGGGCAGAGGGAAUUCCUGGUGUAGCGGUGAAAUGCGUAGAGAUCAGGAAGAACACCAGUGGCGAAGGCGCUCUGCUAGGCCGUAACUGACAC
rnacentral:rRNA from 1 species